rnacentral:rRNA from 1 species
CACGUAGGGCGCAAGCGUUGUCCGGAAUUAUUGGGCGUAAAGAGCUCGUAGGCGGUCUGUUACGUCUGCUGUGAAAACCCAGGGCUUAACCCUGGGCUUGCAGUGGAUACGGGCAGACUAGAGGCAGGUAGGGGAGAAUGGAAUUCCCGGUGUAGCGGUGAAAUGCGCAGAUAUCGGGAGGAACACCGGUGGCGAAGGCAGUCCCCUGGGCCUGUACUGACGCUCAUGCACGAAAGCGUGGGGAGCAAACAGG